CAGAAGCGAGUGGGGAGCAAAUGUAGAGCUUUCCUCGCACAUAUGAUGUCGCAGAAGCAUAGGAUCUUUUGCACGUGCAAGAGGUCAGGAUUAUAUGUGUUACUCGCAGAAGAGAGGUUCUUGUCAUAAAAGCAACACCGCAAGUGCGUCUUUUUGUCUACACGCGCGGAGAUGCCUGAGCAUAUCCUAUUUAUUUCGAGGUUUGAGUUGUUUCAUAACAUUUGGAGAUUUUGAGCAGGAAAAUUUCACUGUUUGAAUUGGAUUAAGAAUUAUUUUACUCGGAUUUUUAUUUUAUAUGAUUCUAUCGUUGAUUUUGGCAUUUGAUUGAUGUUUCUAAAAGAGAAAUUGGGUGGUUCUGUCUAAACUUGUCCAAAGUGAAUGUUUUGAACAUUGAUUCAGAGUCAGAUUUGAGUAAAAUUAGAUUGGUUGGACUCGUAUUCGAAUGGGCUGUCAAAAUCUAUGAGUUUUUUCAGGUUCUGAGGUGCGAGCCCGGUUUGAGUUUUUUGGUUGGCUUUGAGUAUUUGAUUAAAGAUUCGACCUAUAUUGUUUGAGUUUAUUUCCUAAGGCAUUAUUUAUUGUUUUUCAGUUGCUUUUGGCUAUUUUGAGUCAUUCGAAUGUUGAUUCGCGCAGGAUGGCAUUUCUAGAGUAUUGUUUGGCUUGCUCCAUAUUUAAUUUGACUUGUUCAAGGUAAGUAACAUAUCUAAACUUGGAUUUGAGGGUAAUUAUCCCUGGGAACUAUAUUAUUUGUGAUGUAUUGGAGUGACACAUAUGCUAGGUGACGGGCGUGUAUGCGAGCACCAGAGUUUUCACGAUCCGAGUGAAAUUUAGACUAUUAUCAGACUAGUUUAGCUAUAUGACUUGUUAUGUUCUUGUUUUGUUUACUUGUUUGAUUAUCUGAGCUGUGGUUCAUAUUUGAAAUUAUAUUUAGGCUAUGUGGUUAAUUGGUGAGACAUAAUAGAGUUAUAUCUAUUGUGUUUGAGCUAUCUAUCUUAACUGUAGUUAUACUCCCGAUCAUAAUUUUUCAUUUGCAUAACAUAUCUUAGUCUCUAUACUUUAUUUAUUGUUACAUCAUGUUAUUAUUAUUUUUCAUAUAUUAUAUUGUUCGGGCUGAGUGAAAUGAGAUUAUCAGCCAUUGAUCCUUGAGAGGUUGAUGACUGAGGUGGGCCUUAAAGUUGUGUUAAGAAUAUUAUUUGAAUUGGGUUGCAUGUUGCCAUAUUGUCUUUAUUGUUAUUUGAAUCAGGUUGCACGGUACAACAUGUCAUAUUGAAUUUAUUAUUAUUUGGAGCGGGUGCAUGUCACAACAGGCCAUAUUGGCUUUUGAUUAGCGCUUGGUCAGGAUCUGCCCCUCCAGAAUCUAACAUACCAAUAGUGGGCGCGACCAUGAUAUAUAUACAUUGCUUGGUAAGGGCUUUUGAGCGAGGCAUCCGUAUAGUGCUGAGUUAUUCUAUAUGGGAUGAAGUGUGGAAUUUUAGACAGACACCUUGAGUGUGCUGAGAUUGAGCGUACUUGAUGAUAGAACUAUUAAAUUAUUAUCUGAUACGUAGGCAUAGAGUUUCUUUUUUCUCAUACUAAACGGUAAUAUUACAUUUGAUGACUUGAUAUGUAUAUUGACAUGUAGGCGUAGAGAUGUAUUUUUUUCAUGAUAAUUGGUAAAUGGAAAGUCUUAUCUAUUGUUGUGAAUUGGAAAACACAGUUCUUUUUUUAUAAACACGUGUUUAAUUUAUAUUAGUGGUAAGAUUUAAACUUUCACCGUUAUACUUGAAAAGCGUGUCUACAAUCCCGUAACUAUGAACGAGUUGAGCAUAAAACCUUUAAAGUUAUUCACUUUUACUGCCUUUAUUGUAUUAUUACGAGUUGCUAUUGGCAUUGGACUUUGACCAUCUUUUGAGCUUGUCACCAUUUUCAACCUGAGGUAAGAUUUGUUACUUAUUGAGUACCUGGGGUCUUACUUCUAUACCUUGCAUGCAGAUCUUGUUGUUGAUGCUAUUGUGCAUGGUGGGAGUUGGCAUUGAAGAUGCACCUGCUUUUUGGAUAUAGCUGCCACUUGUCCCUGGUAUCUUUAGAUUUGUAUUCUGUUUAUGUAUAUUUCAAGUAGAGAUUAUAUUUAUACCAGUUUUAUGAAUCUAAAAUCUUAGUGGCGCAUGCCUUGUAUAAGUAGUUCUUGGGUUAUUUGGUUAUU
rnacentral:lncRNA from 1 species